UCUGUACAGCACUUUGAGAUAUCAGCUGAUGUAAGAAGGGCUAUAUAAAUACAUUUGAUUUGAUAGAAAAUUCAAUUUAUUUAAACAUUUUAGCUGGCAAUUUCAUUUAACAGAAGGCAUGAAUGUGUCUGUAAUAUAAUAAACAUGACAAAAACAAAUAGUCAUUAAUGCAUUUCUACAGCUUUCAAAAUAAAAUGACUACAGCGGGGGAGAGCCAAGAUGGAGGUGCGGUGGCCUCAAAACAGCCCCCCCUGGUAUCAUCUAGUGUAUAUAUAUAUAUAAACAUCUCUGGUUGAGUCUCAUAACAGCACCCCCUGGUAGUCAUCUAGUGUAUAUAUAUAUAUAUAUAAACAUCUCUGGUUGAGUCUCAUAACAGCACCCCCUGGUAGUCAUCUAGUGUAUAUAUAUAUAUAAACAUCUCUGGUUGAGUCUCAUAACAGCACCCCCUGGUAGUCAUCUAGUGUAUAUAUAUAUAUAUAUAUAAACAUCUCUGGUUGAGUCUCAUAACAGCACCCCCUGGUAUCAUCUAGUAUAUAUAUAUAUAUAUAAACAUCUCUGGUUGAGUCUCAUAACAGCAGAACCAUUUCAUGUUGUCGUAGGGUUGAGUCUCUCUUGCGACGUAAUGAAAAGUGUAACAAUCUUUAGUAUUAUGUUUCUGCCUUGUUUGUUCUUCAUGCAGAAAUCAUAUUACAUCCAUUGUUAUUCAUUGCAAACCAAUCAUCCAGAAAUGGAAAACAUAGCACUGUGAAUUAACCAACAGUAUUUAUUAGGGUAACAUGUAAAGGCUUUAUGGGUUGUCAUUCCACCUUUCCUUACUGAAUUACCAUUAGAAUAAAUUGUUCCCACUGAAUAACUAGUGUUUAUUCACAAGCACAAGACUGUUCAUCCUUAAACUUGGUUUUUUCCUUUGAGAAAAACCCCAAAUGAGCAAAACCCAGAAUCCCCCCCCAAAAACAAACGAUUUUCUGUUAACAAAGAAUUGGAUAUUACUAGAACCAAGGGACGGGGGGGCGAACCAAGGGACAGGGGGG
rnacentral:lncRNA from 1 species